rnacentral:rRNA from 1 species
UACGGUCGCAUCACGUUGAAACACCGGUUCCCGUAUGAUCACCGAAGUUAAACAACGUCGAGCCUGGUCAGUACCUAGAUGAGUGACCACUUGAGAAUACCAGGAGCUGUAAG